rnacentral:misc_RNA from 1 species
UAACGCUUUACUUUCUGGUUUGGAUCAUAAUAUAUUGAAAAAUUACUGUAUAUGAGGAAUUCUGCUUUUUUAUGUUACAGUGGUAGGAAUGUGAUUUCCCUUAUCUUUAAUUAUCCAUGCAAUGUUUGUUUGUGAAUUUGAUAGCAAGAUGCACUUUUUUGUGUCAGCUAUGGUGCAAUAUUUGACUUUCUUAGUGACCAUUAAUGUUGAAGUCAACAUAAUAUGGUAUGCUUUUGGAAUAUUUAAAAUUUGGAGUUUAUUGGAGUUUUACUUCUGGUUUCAUAUUAUAACUCUGGAAAAUAAUUUGGUAGAACUGCCAGGAUGGAGAGUUGUAUUUGCUGCAUGUUAAAGUGACA